UGGGAAUCCUAGCGGACUCUGCUCCUUCCACCUCCUCGUGGUUUAUUGUUCUCUUCCUCUUAUGUGAUGAGAUAAUUAAGGGUUCUCUGCAAUGGACAAUUUCCAAGGUGCUGAUGUGAGGUUACAGCCUCAGCUGCAUCCUGCGUAGGUCAGUAUCCCCACCAGCAGACGAUGCUGGGUCGGUCCUCAUCUCUGCUUCUAGAACGGGAUCUGUGGGAAAAUCUUAAAAGAAGAGGCUCUCUGAUGGGAGGAGAGAGGGAACUUAUUUCCCUUCAAAGUAUUUUGCUUCUUGCAAAUGCAUCCUGCGGAGAGAGAGCGGAUAGGGACUGACAAGCACACUGUUUAGAUAAGAAGCAGUUAGCCUUUUACAUUUUCUAUAUGCAGCAUCUUCCCAAACUCGUUGUGGCUCCCAGGUGGCAGGUGGAUGGCUGGGAAGGACUACCGGCUGUUUCUUACAACAUUCUUGCCAAUUCCCU
rnacentral:lncRNA from 1 species